AGGGUCCUUACGGGGGGCAGCAGUGAGGAAUAUUGGUCAAUGGGCGGUAGCCUGAACCAGCCAAGUAGCGUGAAGGAUGAAGGCUCUAUGGAUUGUAAACUUCUUUUAUAAAGGAAUAAAGUGAGGCACGUGUGCCUUUUUGUAUGUACUUUAUGAAUAAGGAUCGGCUAACUCCGUGCCAGCAGCCGCGGUAAUACGGAGGAUCCGAGCGUUAUCCGGAUUUAUUGGGUUUAAAGGGAGCGUAGGUGGAUUGUUAAGUCAGUUGUGAAAGUUUGCGGCUCAACCGUAAAAUUGCAGUUGAAACU
rnacentral:rRNA from 1 species